GAAACCAGUAUUUAUGCAUUUUGCAUAUACUUUUGCUAGCCAUUGUUAAACGGGAUUGUGAUAGUUUCAUUAUCGUUAAACAACUCAUGGUAGGGCUUACAAAAUGUUAUACUGAUAUAGUCAAGUUGAGAGAAUAAAUGAAUGUUGGCUUGUUGCUGAGAUUGUCUAAUAUUGGUUUUUUUUUAUGCGAAACUCGUCGUUUCCAGGUGGCAGUGUUUGUUGCACUUUGUUGUCUGAUGUAUCGUUUUGUUUGGUGGAUAGUGGAAGAGUACUUGCUAAAGAGGACGAUUUGAGUAAAAUGGGUGUCUUAUUGCGGCCGACUUGAAAUCCCUAGUUGAUAAUGGGUCUGAAAUUGUUAGAUCUACUAUCAACUCCAUAAAACACAUGUUGAUCAACCAAAGUGCAACGAAAGUCACUUAAUGUUGUGGCUUCCUUGACAUCAAGCUAACAAGUUUAUAAUGUUUUGUAGUCAAUGCCUCAACGACUUGACUUAUGUGUAACUAGAGAAUUCACAACAGCGAACUGUGAAACACAACACCAAACUGUGCUUAUCACAAUUGCUUGCUUGUAUUUUUUGACAUUACGCUUAAGUUUAUCAGUUAACCUUCUUGGUAUUGAUACACUGGAUCUCGAUUGUAGCAAUACACCAAAUUUGGUAAUCUUUAACACAUUGUUUUGAUUAGCUUGAAUUUACAUCGUGCAUCGUCUAAUCCUGCAACGUGACUGAUCCACAUUAACGUAAUACGGCAAUCGACUAGAAAUGAGAGCGGAACAACUGCCGGGCUCAUCAGAUACCGUUUUGACUAUUGCUCAAACGUUCGUUAUGGUGGUUAUUGUGAUACAAGGUACACUACAUGUAGAUGAAUAUCAUACUGAAAGGAAGAAGAAUGGAGUUAGUGGAAGAAUUUGCGAAAAUGUUUUUCUAUUUUGAUUGUUUUAUAUAAAAAUUUAUUAAUUAAUUUAAUUUUAUACAAAAAGAUUAUGUAAAUCAUGCGGCAUGUUCAUUUUCUCUAUUUAUUUGUACAGUUUGGAUUUGUAAGGGCACCGAAGUAUUGCGGUACAGGUCCUACAUCGCGCGCAGGAGAACCAAGGGCAAGUCGGUUAGGUGCUACAUCUUUUGUCACUAAAGCACCUGCUGCUACAACAGCAUUCUCACCUACUUCAACUCUACCAAGCACUGUGGCUCCAGUGCAAAGCAUAGCAUUCUUGCGUAUGACGGGAUGACGAGCUCCACUAUCCUUAAAUGUGCUUCCCAAUGUCACAUUGUGCCAAAUACUAACACCAUCCUCUACAAUCGCUGUCUCACCAAUCACUAUACCCAAGGCGUGGUCAAGAAACAAGCCAUCUCCAAUGCUGGCAGCCGGAUGGAUGUCAACACCAUAUGCCACGGCCGUCCAAUUUUGAACAAGCACGGCGGAUGUUUUAUCUCCUUCGCUCCAAAGACCGUGAGCUAUGCGAUACAAUUGCAAGGCAUGAAAUCCUCGAAAUGAGAGAAAUGCACUAAUGAGAUCCGGGCACGCAGGAUUCGUCGUAUACAAUCUAUCCAAGUCUAUCAUGGCCGAUCGAAUUAUCUUUUCAUCAUUGAGCCCUAGAAUACUGUAGAACCAGUUUUCCAUUGAUUCUGAACUCCCAGUAACAUGGUCAAGUGGAAGAGCUAAAACACAGCUCAAAGACUCCCUCAAAGUUUUUUUACUCAAGAUUUUUCUCGCAAGGUCUUUGGCUAACCAUGGAUUAACUUCACAUUGCUUUUCAGCCUCUUUUCGUAGUUUUGGCCAGAUAGCCUGGACAAGUGUUAUUGUCCUCUCCGCUGUCUGCACAGUCAUCUUAUUUGUUCAGUGUUCAACAAAAUCUGGGUUUACUUGUUUAAUUUACUUUGGCUUGAUAGAUCUUUUGAGAUUUCUAAUAUGUACGUUUGCAAUCCUGACCACGGAGUUUUCUUGUCUUAAUUUAUGCACACAUAACGUAGAAAGAAUGGUGCAUUUAAUGUUAAUGUGUAAAUAAACUAAUUAGUUGGAAACGGUUUAGCACAAGUAUCUUUUGUUUUAAGUCUCUUUUUUUGUAGUUCUACAUGGAGCAAAUAUGCGGGUUUUAUUGACCGUUUAUUAUCUUUGCGCAUAAAUAUGAACAUAUA
rnacentral:lncRNA from 1 species